AUUGAACGCUGGCGGCAGGCCUAACACAUGCAAGUCGAACGAGCGGCGGACGGGUGAGUAAUGUCUGGGAAACUGCCUGAUAGAGGGGGAUAACUACUGGAAACGGUAGCUAAUACCGCAUACCAUCAGAUGUGCCCAGAUGGGAUUAGCUAGUUGGUGGGGUAAAGGCUCACCAAGGCGACGAUCCCUAGCUGGUCUGAGAGGAUGACCAGCCACACUGGAACUGAGACACGGUCCAGACUCCUACGGGAGGCAGCAGUGGGGAAUAUUGCACAAUGGGCGAAAGCCUGAUGCAGCCAUGCCGCGUGUAUGAAGAAGGCCUUAGGGUUGUAAAGCACGUUCAGCGGGGAGGCGUUACCCGCAGAAGAAGCACCGGCUAACUCCGUGCCAGCAGCCGCGGUAAUAC
rnacentral:rRNA from 1 species